rnacentral:rRNA from 1 species
CCUACGGGAGGCAGCAGUGAGGAAUAUUGGUCAAUGGGCUUACGCCUGAACCAGCCAAGUCGCGUGAGGGAAGACUGCCCUAUGGGUUGUAAACCUCUUUUGUCAGGGAGCAACGCCGGCUACGUGUAGCCGGACUGAGAGUACCUGAAGAAAAAGCAUCGGCUAACUCCGGGCCAGCAGCCGCGGUAAUACGUAGGGCGCAAGCGUUAUCCGGAUUUACUGGGUGUAAAGGGAGCGUAGACGGCAUGGCAAGUCUGAAGUGAAAGCCCGGGGCUCAACCGCGGGACUGCUUUGGAAACUGGUAAGCUGGAGUGCAGGAGAGGUAAGUGGAAUUCCUGGUGUAGCGGUGAAAUGCGUAGAUAUUAGGAGGAACACCAGUGGCGAAGGCGGCUUACUGGACUGUAACUGACGUUGAGGCUCGAAAGCGUGGGGAGCAAACAGGAUUAGAUACCCGGGUAGUC